rnacentral:rRNA from 1 species
AACAACAGGGAUUGCCUCAGUAACGGCGAGUGAAGCGGCAUCAGCUCAAAUUUGAAAUCUGGCCUCACGGCCCGAGUUGUAAUUUGCAGAGAAUGCUUCGGGCGAGGUCCGGUCUAAGUUCCUUGGAACAGGACGUCAUAGAGGGUGAGAAUCCCGUAUGCGACCGGUCGCCUCCGCCCAUGUGAAGCUUCUUCGACGAGUCGAGUUGUUUGGGAAUGCAGCUCUAAGCGGGUGGUAUAUUUCAUCUAAAGCUAAAUACUGGCCAGAGACCGAUAGCGCACAAGUAGAGUGAUCGAAAGAUGAAAAGCACUUUGGAAAGAGAGUUAAACAGUACGUGAAAUUGUUGAAAGGGAAGCGCUUGCAACCAGACUUGCGCGCGGCCGAUCAUCCGGUGUUCUCACCGGUGCACUCGGCCGCGCUCAGGCCAGCAUCGGUUCCGGCGGUUGGAUAAAGGCCUUGGGAAUGUAGCUCCUCUCGGGGAGUGUUAUAGCCCUCGGUGCAAUGCAGCCUGCCGGGACCGAGGACCGCGCUUCGGCUAGGAUGCUGGCGUAAUGGUUGUAAGCGACCCGUCUUGAAACACGGACCAAGGAGUCUAACAUCUAUGCGAGUGUUUGGGCGUUAAACCCAUACGCGGAAUGAAAGUGAACGGAGGUGAGAACCCUUAAGGGUGCAUCAUCGACCGAUCCUGAUGUCUUCGGAUGGAUUUGAGUAAGAGCAUAGCUGUUGGGACCCGAAAGAUGGUGAACUAUGCCUGAAUAGGGUGAAGCCAGAGGAAACUCUGGUGGAGGCUCGCAGCGGUUCUGACGUGCAAAUCGAUCGUCAAAUUUGGGUAUAGGGGCGAAAGACUAAUCGAACCAU